UUAUAUUUUUGACUUGGAUUUACCUGUGUUUCUUUGUCUACUCAUUGUCUUCUGACACUCAAUCAUGAUAACUGAGGGGGAUUUACUUCUGGGAACAUGACCCAAAUGUGGCAGCUCUCACAGACUAUAGCAAAUAGUAAACAAAAGCCAAGGGAAUAGACAAGAAUUCAGUGACAUGAGCAGGACAGCUACAAAGAAAAGAAAUGUUAUUGAUGGUGAUGAGGAAAUGAGGGACUAGUUUAACCAGCCUCACAGAAAAGUCUUUUGUAAACACUCUUCAGAUUUUUAUGCUUCUCUAUCCACAAGAAAACCGUUCUCUUAUAAAUUCACACAGUAAAUCACGUUCUGAGCCCAGAUUCUAUUUCCUACCUCCUACAUUUAUAAUCAACUACUCUAACUAGUAAAUGUUUGCUAGUUCAGUUGGGUAAGUCAAUGGUGAUUAACGAUAAGGUCUUAGCAGUUUCAAUAUUAAUAGAUGUCUACCACAUGCCUUCAGAGCUCAAGAUAUUUUACCCGUGUUAUUUUAUUGAUUCCCUUCUGCAGUCUUCUACAGUAAUUAUUGUUGUCCUUUUUCUUACAGUCAAAGAAACCAAGACUUAGAUAAAUUAAGUUCUUUAAGAACACACUGGAGCAUCUUCUUGUGACUGAGGGACUACCUGUUUGACUGCAUCAUUCCUCCAGAUUUUACUUCUGGAUUCCUCUGUAUCACCCAAGUUUCGACUGGGGUUUGAACCUGGGAAGCGUUCACAAUAAAUGGGAAAGGAAGACAAGAAACAUGGCAUUACUUGAAAUAUGUCCCUACCCAAGAAAGACUGAGGUUCCACGUGGGAAUACGUUUAUUCUACACACACAUCAGGAUGCUAAUGCUCAGAUGUGGAAAGGAUUCUGACGUUUUGGGGAAGUCACAGCAGAUGGACUCAAUGUGGACAUUGAGAAAGAUGCUACAUGUUCUUCCUUUCAUGGAAACUUCAAGUCUAGGAAACAGAAGAGUGUGAUUCAUACCUCCAGAGACCCACAGGGAGUGUCACGCUCCAUAAAAUUACUUAUGCAUUUAUAUACGUGCUUCAGCACCAUCUCCUGGCAAGGGGAUACAAGUUAAGCACCUUCCAUAUGCAGCAAGGAAAACCCCUUCGGCAAGAAAGUCUACCCAUUGGCAUGCACAAAUCAGACUAGCUGCAGUUUUGCUGUGUCAAAAGGAACAUUCACCAUGCUUAAUGAGAGGCACUGGAUUAAUGCUGGCUGUUUUUAGCAGAAGGAAUGUUCAGAUGCUUGGGAAAAUGGGAAAACAAGGUACCUGGAGGGCACAGUGAAGGUCAUGUACUCACACUGGAAAACGUGGGUGGUUUUUUUGUUUUUGUUUUUAUGCCUGUAAAUACAGUCUCCAGUACGUAUGGUGUCUGUGUGUGAAAUACACAUCUGUAUUUUAGGUCCUUCUAGUGCCACUCAUGUUUAAUUUAUAACGCUGGAAGACCAACACUAUCUUGUCACUGAGGACCAGACAACCCUUCAAGUAGUCUUUUUCUCCUUUACAGAAAGAAAGUCCUGAGAACAUGGUUGUAGCUGGAUAUAUCCCUAGACCUCUCACUUUGUGUGCCAACUUGAUUGUUCUUUCCAUUAAUUUUUCACACAAUUACUCUGAAGUGCUCCAAAUUGGCAACUAAGAAGGGCCAAAUGACAAGAUAUCAAUUUUAUUUUCAAGAUAUUGUUACUUUAGAGUCUCAGAGAAUGUGGGUGAUACUCUCUUGGAAAGAGAACAUUUUGAAAGUAUUUAAUAAGGGAAAUUUUGUGGUCAAAUUCCAAAACUGAUUUAAAGAGAUAUUUAUUAAGAAAAAUCUAUUUCUUUGACCAGU